CUGCAGCGAUGUUGGAGUGGAGCUCCCCUUUACCCUCAUGCACCCCAAACCCAGCGAAAGUGUCAGCCAGGAGGACAUUGUGAUCGAGGAGUUUGCCCGGCAGAAGCUGAAAGGGGAGAAAGACGAUGAAGAAGAAAAGGAGGACCAGGAGGAAAAGUAGUGUGGAGACUGGCCCGUGGUGGACAGGCAGAAGGACAGCUGGACGUUGAGAACCCGGCAGAAUGCCCAUUAGCGCCACAAUUAGAAUUCUGUCAUUAAACACAUAACAUUGCUGUGCUUUCUCUGAAAUAGGGGGUGGGGAUGCAUUCAUUUUUUUAUUAUUUAUAGCUCAGUAGUGCAAUCCUAGGGGUACUGAGGCACAGACACACUGAGCCGAAACUGCUCAUGGAGAAACAUAAGCAAAAACAGUUACACAGUUCAAAACAAAUCUGUCUCAAAACACAUUUUCAGGAUCACAUUUCUCUUGUAGCUAUAGCAUGUGAGUGAGGUGCAUCAUUUCAAAAGAAGCGGCCUUCUCAACUGGCCGUGGAGAAUACAUUUCCGAGUGAAGUACAACUGCUUUUGCAAUCAGACACCUCAGGGCUAUGCUAGACACUUAGUUCUCUGUAGGAGGGGUUUACCUGUGUGAACUAAGGGGCUGCAGGAGCUCAGUUGUGCACACCCAGCUCUGACAGGUGCAGGCCUGUGGCUUAAGCCACAUGUCAAUGCCCCUGAAGACUGGAGUCACGGGCUGGGAACGGAGGGCACACUGGCUGUGCUGGGGAGCGGCAUUGCAGAUCCCCUCUGGACACUCAGGGUGGCUGUCCAGCAACAAGGGCAAAGUCUGUUCAUCUUUCAGGACCCAGCAUCCCUUGCCACGUCGCUUCCGCUACCAAAUGUUUUGUUGGGGUUUUUUAGCAUUAUUUCAUUCAUGUACCUGCUGAUUUGUAGAGGUGGGUGUUUAGAGGCCCCUGCGGCGCCUGUGUAGCUCCAGUAUUAGAGUUUCCACGAGGGCAGCGCUACACAGCCGCUCAGCCACAGGGCUGGUCUCCUCCCGGGCACUCCUGCACUGGAAAGGGGGCUCGGUCAAGGAGUGGGGGUGUAGCGAUUUCUGUUCUCUAGAGGGAGUGUUUGUGGGGUUUAAUUUACUGUGUGACCUGACACAGCCAGAUUGUCAAAGGAACUGAGUGCAUGUUCACUGCUGAAGGGAUCGCUGGUGGGCUUCUUCAGAGUUAUACAUAAAUGUACCGUAUGUAUAAGCAAACCAUCAUGCUGUCUGAAGGAACUGGGAUGCGGGGUGAGAACCACACCUCUGAUUAAAAGUAUGAGGUUA